rnacentral:lncRNA from 1 species
GGGGCGGCGGAAUUCCCCGGCGCCGCCGGCCUGCGCGCCCAUUGGCCCGCACCCCAUCGUGACGUCACGCCAGGGGAAUGGGAAAACCCCGCGCAUCACGUGAUUUCGGGGGCGGGCCUGGCCGGGAAAGGGAGGCUGGGCGCUGUAGAGGGGCAAGGCUUGCGUCGCUGCCCAAGGACUUGAACCUGCUGACUCUCAGGCUGAAGGGAAGCUUCAGGAGUGGGAAGUUGCCGGGGCUCUGCUGCUGCCGUUGGUGACAGUGAUCUUCAUCAAACCCUCAAGGUCGCUCCUCGCCUCAGUCUCUUCCACUGUAAAUAAGGGAUAAAGAUACUGAACCAGCGUUUAAAGCUAUGACAUCAGAAUGUAGAUUUUUGUUUUGUUCCUUGUGUCCCCAACAUGCAAAA